UACGUAGGGGGCGAGCGUUGUCCGGAAUUAUUGGGCGUAAAGAGCUUGUAGGCGGUCUGUCGCGUCUGCUGUGAAAAUCCGGGGCUCAACCCCGGACUUGCAGUGGGUACGGGCAGACUAGAGUGUGGUAGGGGAGACUGGAAUUCCUGGUGUAGCGGUGAAAUGCGCAGAUAUCAGGAGGAACACCGGUGGCGAAGGCGGGUCUCUGGGCCGUAACUGACGCUGAGGAGCGAAAGCAUGGGGAGCGAACAGG
rnacentral:rRNA from 1 species